UACGAAGGGGGCUAGCGUUGCUCGGAAUGACUGGGCGUAAAGCGUGCGCAGGCGGUUCGUUGUGUCUGAUGUGAAAGCCCCGGGCUUAACCUGGGAAUGGCAUUGGAAACUGGCGAGCUGGAGUGUGGCAGAGGGGGGUGGAAUUCCGCGUGUAGCAGUGAAAUGCGUAGAGAUGCGGAGGAACACCGAUGGCGAAGGCAGCCCCCUGGGCUGACACUGACGCUCAGGCACGAAAGCGUGGGGAGCAAACAGG
rnacentral:rRNA from 1 species